rnacentral:rRNA from 1 species
CCUACGGGAGGCAGCAGUGGGGAAUAUUGCACAAUGGGCGCAAGCCUGAUGCAGCCAUGCCGCGUGUGUGAAGAAGGCCUUCGGGUUGUAAAGCACUUUCAGCGGGGAGGAAGGCGGUGAGGUUAAUAACCUCAUCGAUUGACGUUACCCGCAGAAGAAGCACCGGCUAACUCCGUGCCAGCAGCCGCGGUAAUACGGAGGGUGCAAGCGUUAAUCGGAAUUACUGGGCGUAAAGCGCACGCAGGCGGUCUGUCAAGUCGGAUGUGAAAUCCCCGGGCUCAACCUGGGAACUGCAUUCGAAACUGGCAGGCUAGAGUCUUGUAGAGGGGGGUAGAAUUCCAGGUGUAGCGGUGAAAUGCGUAGAGAUCUGGAGGAAUACCGGUGGAGAAGGCGGCCCCCUGGACAAAGACUGACGCUCAGGUGCGAAAGCGUGGGGAGCAAACAGGAUUAGAUACCCUUGUAGUC